GGAGUUAGCCGGUGCUUCUUCUGCGAGUAACGUCACAGAUGUAAGGUAUUAACUUACACCCUUUCCUCCUCGCUGAAAGUGCUUUACAACCCGAAGGCCUUCUUCACACACGCGGCAUGGCUGCAUCAGGGUUUCCCCCAUUGUGCAAUAUUCCCCACUGCUGCCUCCCGUAGGAGUCUGGGCCGUGUCUCAGUCCCAGUGUGGCUGAUCAUCCUCUCAGACCAGCUAGGGAUCGUCGCCUAGGUGAGCCUUUACCUCACCUACUAGCUAAUCCCACCUGGGCUUAUCCAUCAGCGCAAGGCCCGAAGGUCCCCUGCUUUCCCCCGUAGGGCGUAUGCGGUAUUAGCAGUCGUUUCCAACUGUUAUCCCCACAAAUGGGCAAAUUCCCAGGCAUUACUCACCCGUCCGCCGCUCGUCAUCUUCAAAGCAAGCUUUUGAAAUGUUACCGCUCGACUUGCAUGUGUUAGGCCUGCCGCCAGCGUUCAAUCUGAGCCAGAAUCAAACUCUGA
rnacentral:rRNA from 1 species